GACGAACGCUGGCGGCGUGCCUAAUACAUGCAAGUAGAACGCACAGUUUAUACCGUAGCUUGCUACACCAUAGACUGCGAGUUGCGAACGGGUGAGUAACGCGUAGGUAACCUGCCUGGUAGCGGGGGAUAACUAUUGGAAACGAUAGCUAAUACCGCAUAAUAUUGAUUAUUGCAUGAUAAUUGAUUGAAAGAUGCUAUUGCAUCACUACCAGAUGGACCUGCGUUGUAUUAGCUAGUAGGUGAGGUAACGGCUCACCUAGGCGACGAUACAUAGCCGACCUGAGAGGGUGAUCGGCCACACUGGGACUGAGACACGGCCCAGACUCCUACGGGAGGCAGCAGUAGGGAAUCUUCGGCAAUGGACGAAAGUCUGACCGAGCAACGCCGCGUGAGUGAAGAAGGUUUUCGGAUCGUAAAGCUCUGUUGUAAGAGAAGAACGGGUGUGAGAGUGGAAAGUUCACACUGUGACGGUAUCUUACCAGAAAGGGACGGCUAACUACGUG
rnacentral:rRNA from 1 species